UACGGGGGGUGCGAGCGUUGUCCGGAAUCACUGGGCGUAAAGGGCGCGUAGGUGGUUUGAUAAGGGUGUGGUGAAAGCCCGGGGCUCAACCCCGGGUCUGCCGUGCCGACUGUCAAACUCGAGGGCUGUAGAGGCAGACGGAAUUCCGGGUGUAGUGGUGGAAUGCGUAGAGAUCCGGAGGAACACCAGCGGCGAAGGCGGCAUCCUGGACUGGUCCUGACACUCAUGAGCGAAAGCGUGGGGAGCGAUCCGG
rnacentral:rRNA from 1 species